rnacentral:rRNA from 1 species
UUAAUGAGAACUGGGUGAAACCAGAUUUCAGGAAUCAUGAAUCUUUGACGCCCCUUGCUCUCCUUGGUUUUCCGGGGCGCAUGCCUGUUUGAGUGUCAUGGUUUUCUCAAUUCCCUAAAUCUUUGGGGAUUUGGGUGAAAAUUGGAUGUGGAGGUGAUGCGGCGUUUUUUUUAAUGGGGCCGGCUCCUCUGAAAUGAAUUAGCGGGAAUGUUGCCGUGUCAACCUCAGUGUGAUAAUUAUCUGCGCUGUUGUUGCUCAGCAAAAAUAUAUGUUCUCGCUUCGAAUCGUCUUUGGACAAUUUUUUGACAAUCUGACCUCAAAUCAGGUGGACUCCAUCCCCUGAACUUUACUAUCUAACGGAGGAAAA